UGGGGAAUUUUGCACAAUGGGGGAAACCCUGAUGCAGCGACGCCGCGUGAUUUAGAAGGCCUUCGGGUUGUAAAAAUCUUUUGUAUAGGAAGAAAAUGACAGUACUAUACGAAUAAGGACCGGCUAAUUACGUGCCAGCAGCCGCCGUAAUACGUAAGGUCCGAGCGUCGUCCGGAAUCAUUGGGCGUAAAGGGUAAGUAGGCGUGUAAGCAAGUUAGAAGUGAAAUCCUAUAGCUCAACUAUAGUAAGCUUUUAAAACUGCUAAUCUUGAGGUAUGGAAGGGAAAGUGGAAUUCCUAGUGUAGCGGUGAAAUGCGCAGAUAUUAGGAGGAAUACCGGUGGCGAAGGCGACUUUCUGGCCAUAACCUGACGCUGAGGUACGAAAGCGUGGGUAGCAAACAGG
rnacentral:rRNA from 1 species